GGAAAAUGUUCAAAACCGGCUGCACAAUUAAUCGAAUUUUAAUCACGAUCACGAUUUCGGCUUCCCACGAUCAAAUUUGCGUGAUCGAGCGAUAUUAAAAAUGCGUGCUCUACCCAUUGAACCAACCUGGCAACCUAUAGAACACUCCGCUACAAAACAAUGUGCCUGCAUGCAGCCUACCAAUGACAACUGUUCCCUGCACUGCUCAGCCUGAUGCAAUGCUCAGUUUGGAUGCACUGUGGACUAGUAGCAUUAUGUUAACUAUUAGUAGGCUAGUUAGACUAUA